UGGGGAUCUUGUGCUUGCUAAUGAAGUACAACAGGUCAUAGAUUUGGAAGAAGAAAACGAUACAGGCACUACUGAAUGCCUCACUGUCGAGAGCUCCUGUUACAGAAACUACACACAGCUGUUUGAACCGAUUGUGAUUGAUGAUGAAGAUCCUACUCCUAACGAAGCCAAAGCUGAGCCCC